rnacentral:rRNA from 1 species
AUGUUUGAGAAAAUAUGUGGACCGGACAGGAAAAAGAAUCCUGGUGAGAGUAGGUAUAAAGCAGAGUGAGAAUCUCUGCCACCGUAAGGGCAAAGGUUCCUUGACAACGAACAUCGGUCAAGGGUUAGUCGGUCCUAACUUGCUUCGUAACUGUUUGCAGGGAAAGGGAAACAGGUUAAUAUUCCUGUACUUUCUGGAUAUGCGUGGCAACACAAGCGUAAUUUCUGACGCUUCAGGCUAGGCGAAUAUGAGCUGUCGCUCGUAUCAACCGGAAUAAAUCAAUGGAGUGCCGUAAUGGAGAGAAAUUGAUUAAAUCCGGGAGUAGUAGGUUGUAUGAUCUAUUUUGCUGAUGCCCGGAGUCCCUGAAAAAGAAAUUAUGAUAGAUUCCGGAUAUCCGUACUAAAAACCAGCACAGGUGCCCCUAGGUGAGUAGCCUAAGGUGUAGGGUUUAAUCUAGGUAAGGGAAUUCGGCAAAUUGGUCCUGUAUCUUCGGUAUAAAGGAUCCCUGUGAUUGUUACUUUUCGUAGCGGUUGCAGGGCGCAGUGACUAGGGGGGUCCGACUGUUUAACAAAAACAUAAUCUUCUGCUAGUCCGCAAGGAUGUGUACAGAAGGUGACGUCUGCCCAGUGCCAGUACUUCAAACUUCUUUUCAAGGGAGCUAAGAGCUGGUAUACGGCGGGAGUAACUAUAACUCUCUUAAGGUAGCGAAAUACCUUGUCGUUUAAUUGACGACGUGCAUGAAUGGCGUAACGAGAUCUCUACUGUCCCUACCUAGAGUCCUCCGAACACUCUUUCAUGGUGCAAAGGCCAUGGUCUCCCAGUGGGAAGCGAAGACCCCGUGAAACUUUACUGCAGCUUGUAAUUGCGGUACAAAUGAUGGUGUGCAGCGUAGAUAGUAGUUGCUUGAAACUUAAUCGUCAGGUUAAGCGUAAACAUCAAUGAGACACUAUCCUCUAUUAUUAGUAUUGCUAACCAGGAUGUUAAUAUUCUGGGACAUUUGCAGGUGGGCAGUUUGGCUGGGGUGGCACCCCGUCGAAAGGAUAUCGACGGGGUCCAAAGGUUAGCUCAACCGGUUUGGAAAUCCGGUGUUGAGUAUAAGGGCAAAAGCUAGCCUGACUGAAUUUUCAAUAAGUCAAAAUUCAGAGACGAAAGUCUGGCCUAACGAACUCCUAUACCUCUUUAAUAGGGGUUAGGACUGACCGAAAAGUUACUCCGGGGAUAACAGAGUUGUCGCGCCCGAGAGUUCAUAUCGACGGCGCGGUUUGCUACAUCGAUGUCGGCUCUUCCUAUCCUGGCUGUGCAGCAGCAGCCAAGGGUGGGGGUGUUCACCCAUUAAAAGGGAUCGUGAGCUGGGUUCAGAACGCUGUGAGGCAGUUUGUUUGAUAUCUACUGGAAGUGUUGAAUGUUUGAAAGGAAGGAUCUCUCAGUACGAGAGGAACGGGGAACCAGGGCCACUGGUCUAUCUGUUGUCUGACAAGGCAUUAUGCAGAGCAGCUACGCCCUAAAGGAUAAGUGCUGAAAGCAUCUAAGCACGAAACCUGCCUUGAAAAGAAACAUUCAUCGAACACUUGUAAAACACAAGUUUGAUAGGAUUGGUGUGUAAGUUUCAAGCUUCGGCGAGAAAUUAAGCAUGCAAUUACUAAAA